CCGCUAUUUUCGAAUUCUUUGAAGCUGUGAAUUCAACGGCUCGCAAUACUUCGUGUGUUUUAUUCUCAUUUUCUACUGCAAACAAACAUAGAUCUGUUGAUAUAGCUGCAAGGGAUUUCUUGGAACAAAAUGGCCUUGCCGAUCUUAUUCAACUGGUUGUCGAAGAAAAUAAGUUUGAAACUGUUACGGAUCUGCAGUUACUAGUUUGAGCAACCCAAGUUUUUUGGAUUCCAUCAAGAUACCUGUUUUGUUGACAAAUUAAAUUUGCUAGUGCUAUCAAGAAACUUGAAAAAUG